GGCCUUCCAAAUACCGUUUCGAUCCCUAACAUCACUGAAGAGACAUUUAUUGUCGAAAUCCGGAUAUGGUGUACUAAAGAAAUAUUGACACCGAAUAUUUGUGGCACAACAUCCUGUCCACAAGUUAACAAUUUUUUUUUUCUGUGACGUAUUAAAUUUAUAAUAAGAUCCAUUUUGUUACAACCUGUGAUCAAUUUUAUUUGGCAAUCGCCAAUGGCAGUCAGCAGGGUUAAAGAACAUCAGUUGUUCGACCUGUUAGUCAAAUGCGUUUUGUUUAAAUAUACUUUUUCACUUUUUGGUCUUUUGGAAAAUGUUGUUUGUGCUGUUUUUAGACCCUUCUACAACGAAAUUUGUUUGACAUGCACACGUAUAAAAAUUGCGGUUUUUAUCCAACGCAGUCAUAGGUUUGAACGUAGUUUUCAAUUUAGACUCGUUUAUAUUUUUUGUUUGGGCAUGUAUCAUAUUUUCCCUCCGGUUUAUAUGAUCCGUUCAUCCUAUAUAUUGACUCUUAAAAUUCAAGAGUUAAUCUAAAAAUGAGGGUACUUUCUCUAAAAAUGAGGGUGCUUUUUAUAUGGCCUUCCAAAUACCGUUUCGAUCCCUAACAUCACUGAAGAGACAUUUAUUGUCGAAAUCCGGAUAUGGUGUACUAAAGAAAUAUUGACACCGAAUGUUUGUGGCACAACAUCCUGUCCACAAGUUAACAAUUUUUUUUUUUCUGUGACGUAUUAAAUUUAUAAUAAGAUCCAUUUUGUUACAACCUGUGAUCAAUUUUAUUUGGCAAUCGCCAAUGGCAGUCAGCAGGGUUAAAGAACAUCAGUUGUUCGACCUGUUAGUCAAAUGCGUUUUGUUUAAAUAUACUUUUUCACUCUUUUGGUCUUUUGGAAAAUGUUGUUUGUGCUGUUUUUAGACCCUUCUACAACGAAAUUUGU
rnacentral:lncRNA from 1 species